rnacentral:lncRNA from 1 species
CGCUGCUACUUUGUCUUUCCUACGCGAUGGACAUCCUCACACUGUGAACCAAAGCAGUCCCUCCAUUGAGUUGCUUUUCAGCAUUUUUGUUCGGGUUUUGCAAUUCUGAAAAUCCAUCCCAGCCAAACAUUGAGUCAUGCCCCCAGUCCUUCAGUGGCCUUAUGUCACGGCAGUGAAAAGUGUCUGUCUCCAGAUGGCUCGUUAGACCCAAGGAGCAAUUCUCUUUCACUUAUAAUAUCUGCAAGUAUUUGAAUUGAUACUGGUAAGUUACAUCUUUUUUCAGUAUUCCUUCAUUGGUCUUAUGGUACUUGUCCCUGCUGAUAAUCCUAAUAUUUUUACCAUGCAUGUAAGUACUGUGUGUGUCAGGAGUGAUGUGAAAGCAGAGAUUGUGUGUGUGUGUGUGUGUCUGUCUGUCUGUCUAUGCCCAAUGUUGGUGUACUAUCAUAACUGGGAGGAGAGGAGAGAACAGCAUCA